rnacentral:lncRNA from 1 species
GCUGCUUCCAAUCGACCCUCGGCGCAUAGGAUAGAAUGAAAAGCUGCAUUGGAACAAAGACAGAAUUAGGUACCAAAGCAUGACAAAACAAAAUAAUACAGCAUAAGUAAUCCCGCAGAGAUAGCGUAUUCAGUGAAGGAUAUGAAAAACAAAAUCAAAAACAAAAAUAAAAAUAAAAGAGCAUUAGUAAGUCCAGCAGAAAUAACAUAAAUAAUUAUCUAAACAUAAGAACCAUAAAUAGCAUGCAAUAAUAUCAGACAGCAACUACCAUAAAUAACUACCAUAAGGGAGAC